rnacentral:rRNA from 1 species
UACGUAGGGGGCAAGCGUUGUCCGGAUUUAUUGGGCGUAAAGAGCGUGUAGGCUGCCAAGUAAGUCUGCUGUGAAAACUCGAGGCUUAACCUCGAGCUGUCGGCGGAAACUAUUUGGCUAGAGUCCGGAAGAGGAGAAUGGAAUUCCCGGUGUAGCGGUGAAAUGCGCAGAUAUCGGGAAGAACACCCGUGGCGAAGGCGGUUCUCUGGGACGGUACUGACGCUGAGACGCGAAAGCGUGGGGAGCGAACAGG